rnacentral:tRNA from 1 species
GGGCGGUUAACUCAGCGGUAGAGUGCCAUCCUCACACGGUGGAAGUCACUGGUUCAAAUCCAGUACCGCCCACCA